UUUUCCUACGGGGGGCAGCAGUGGGGAAUCUUCCGCAAUGGGCGAAAGCCUGACGGAGCAACGCCGCGUGAUCGAAUGAAGGCCUUCGGGUUGUAAAGAUCUGUUGACAGGGACGAAUAAGCAAUGCGAAUAGUUUUGUGUAUGACGGUACCUGUUUAGAAAGCUCCGGCUAACUACGUGCCAGCAGCCGCGGUAAUACGUAGGGAGCAAGCGUUAUCCGGAUUUAUUGGGCGUAAAGGGAACGCAGGCGGUCUUUUAAGUCUGAUGUGAAAGCCUUCGGCUUAACCGGAGUAGUGCAUUGGAAA
rnacentral:rRNA from 1 species